UAGGGAAUCUUCCGCAAUGGGCGAAAGCCUGACGGAGCAACGCCGCGUCAGUGAUGAAGGUCUUCGGAUCGUAAAACUCUGUUAUUAGGGAAGAACAAAUGUGUAAGUAACUAUGCACGUCUUGACGGUACCUAAUCAGAAAGCCACGGCUAACUACGUGCCAGCAGCCGCGGUAAUACGUAGGUGGCAAGCGUUAUCCGGAAUUAUUGGGCGUAAAGCGCGCGUAGGCGGUUUUUUAAGUCUGAUGUGAAAGCCCACGGCUCAACCGUGGAGGGUCAUUGGAAACUGGAAAACUUGAGUGCAGAAGAGGAAAGUGGAAUUCCAUGUGUAGCGGUGAAAUGCGCAGAGAUAUGGAGGAACACCAGUGGCGAAGGCGACUUUCUGGUCUGUAACUGACGCUGAUGUGCGAAAGCGUGGGGAUCAAACAGG
rnacentral:rRNA from 1 species